UAGAAAAGCCAUACCACCCUGAACGUGCCUGAUCUUGUAAGCUUAGCAGGGUCGGGCCUGGUUUGUACUUGGACGGGUGAUUUGAGUUUUGGUAAUGUUUCUUU
ensembl:rRNA 5S_rRNA 5S ribosomal RNA